rnacentral:rRNA from 1 species
AUGCAAGUCGAACGCAUCCCGUUGAUUUGAAGUGCUUGCACUGAUAAUUAACAUCGGAUGAGUGGCGAACUGGUGAGUAACACGUGGGUAACUUGCCCAAAAGUAGGGGAUAACAUUUGGAAACAGGUGCUAAUACCGUAUAACAACGAAAAUCGCAUGAUUUUCGUUUGAAAGAUGGUUUCGGCUAUCACUUUUGGAUAGACCCGCGGUGCAUUAGCUAGUUGGUAGAGUAAUGGUUUACCAAGGCAAUGAUGCAUAGCCGACCUGAGAGGGUAAUCGGCCACAUUGGGACUGAGACACGGCCCAAACUCCUACGGGAGGCAGCAGUAGGGAAUCUUCCACAAUGGACGAAAGUCUGAUGGAGCAACGCCGCGUGAGUGAAGAAGGGUUUCGGCUCGUAAAACUCUGUUGUUGGAGAAGAACGAACGUGAGAGUAACUGUUCACGUUGUGACGG